rnacentral:rRNA from 1 species
CCUACGGGAGGCAGCAGUGGGGAAUAUUGCACAAUGGGGGAAACCCUGAUGCAGCGACGCCGCGUGAGUGAAGAAGUAAUUCGUUAUGUAAAGCUCUAUCAGCAGGGAAGAAAAUGACGGUACCUGAGUAAGAAGCCCCGGCUAACUACGUGCCAGCAGCCGCGGUAAUACGUAGGGGGCAAGCGUUAUCCGGAUUUACUGGGUGUAAAGGGAGCGUAGGCGGCAGUGCAAGGCUGGAGGGAAAGGCGGGGGCUCAACCCCCGGACUGCCAUUGAAACCGUGGGGCGGGAGUGCAGGAGAGGUAUGCGGAAGGCGUGGUGGAGCGGUGAAAUGCGUAGAGAUGAGGCAGAACACCGAGGGCGAAGGCAGCAUGGCGGCUUGCGAAUGACGUUGAGGCACGAAAGCGGGGGGAGAGAACAGGAUUAGAUACCCUGGUAGGC